GCGCGAGGGAGGGUGUCAGGCCCUACCUCCACCCCCCGCUGGGAGCAAGCAGAGGUGACCUCGGCCUAGCGCUCCUGCUCCGGGCGGGGCCGGCGGCGGCGCCUCCAGGCCGUGGGCGCCAGUGGCCUCCUAGCGCCGGAAGGGCCGGGCCUGCGCGCUCCAGGGACUUGCGGGCCGACGGCGCGGGCGCGGGCCCGGCGGGAGGGGCUACGGCUGAUCUGUUUUUCGUUUCCUUUUCCACCCUUUCUCAGUGUCAUCCUGAACACCGGAAGGUGCAGCGGCAGGGCUACGGACAGACCCACCCACUCUGCCCCUCUGUUGUGUGCCCACGAGGACGCCCAUUCCUCUCUGGACUCCACCCAUUAAAGCGGUUUCAGGCUCUUCGGCUCUAAUGCAGAGCUUUUCAGGGUUGGCUGGAAGCCACAGCCCAGCCUCCUGAUGCAGUCUGAAUCCAGCCGGUGUGAAGAGGAAACUCCUUCCCUCUUGUGGGGUUUGGAUCCUGUGUUUCUAGCCUUCGCAAAACUCUACAUCAGGGAUAUCCUGGACUUGAAGGAGUCCCACCAGGUGCCAGGUGUAUUUUUUUACAAUGGGCAUCCAAUAAAACAGGUAGAUAUCUUGGGAACUGUAAUUGGAGUGAGAGAAAGAGAUGCUUUCUACAUUUGUGGAGUGGAUGAUAGCACUGGAGUUAUAAACUGCAUCUGCUGGAAGAAAUUGAAUAAUACCGUAUCCUCAUCAGCUGCUACGAGUGCAAGAGAGCUGAGCUUAACCUCACAGCUUAAGAAGCUGCAAGAGACCAUUGCACAGAGAACAAAGGUAGAAAUUGGGGACAUUAUCCGGAUCAGAGGUCACGUCCGCAUGUACAGAGGAGAGCGAGAAAUUUAUGCCACUGCUUAUUAUAAAGUGGAUGAUCCAGUGUGCAACAUUCAAAUUGCAAGGAUGCUUGAGCUGCCCACCAUCUACAGGAAAGUUUAUGACCAGCCUUUCCGCAACCCAGCCCUCGAGAAAGAAGAGGCACUGAGCAGCAAUCCAGGCGCCCUGGACCUUGACAGUCUCACGUAUCUGCUGAGUGAAAAAGUCAAAGAAUUCCUUGUGGAGAACAGAGUGCAAACCUUUUACCAGCAGGAGUUGGAAACGGUGGAGUCCCUGCUGUCCCUUGCCAACCAGCCUGUGAUUCACAGCGACUGCUCCGGGCGAGUGGAUUUUAAGAAUGACACCACUUCCAAGGCAAUUCAUAGUAUAUUUAGGAAUGCUAUAAAGCUGCUGCAGGAAGAAGGACUUGUUUUCCAGAAAGAUGGUGGUUUUGAUAACCUAUUCUAUGUAACCAGAGAAGACAAAGAAUUGCACAGAAAGAUCCACCAGAUCAUUCAAGAAGACUGCCAGAAACCAAAUCCAACAGAAGAACUAUGAGAAGUUGAGGGAAGCUCUUGGAAAACUCUCUGGGGCUACAGUUGGGUCACCGCUCAUGUACCGAAGAGCAACCAAGGGGUCCCCCUGCAAAGGAGGGAAGCUGAGCAGACAUCCUCCCCCUCUCUCGUGUGCCAGGACACUGGCUGGGAGAAAGCCGAGCGGAAAGAAGUCUAUUCAGUGAUGAGGAACCCAAGACUUGGUGCCAAGGAUGAAAACCAAACAAACUUGUAAUUUUCCACUGGAGAAAACAUCCACACUUUUUUAUUAGCUUGGUCUCUUCUCUACAAGUGGCCUGUAGAGCAACUGCCCCCAGAAAGGCACCUCAUGGUUUCCUUACUAGAUUUACAAGAAGCACACAGGCAAACUCAGGAAGACCGUGGUGAGGCUUGCUGGAGAAGACAGCAGCAGACACCGGGAAGAGAAGCAGGACCAACCUGAAGGGAAAUCAUGUCUGUGGCCGAAGAACCUUGCAAUAGAGUUUUCGUUUGCACAGCAGUCUACUGAUUGAGGCUCUAAAUGUGCUCCCAAACUCCCACAUAAGUGAGUUUUUACUUAAUCCAGAAUUUAAAAACAAAAACAAAAAAACAAAACAGCCUAUUUUUAUUGAACUUUUAUUAGGUAAACCCAAACAGAUCAGUCCCAGGUUUUACGUGUUCACAAAAAUUCUAAAUCAAACCCCAAAUUCCUGAAGAGACUCCAGCCUCUCCCUGUAUGUCAAAUUAAAAAGAUAAGUUUUACUUUGAAACAUCAAAAGAGGAAUUUUGAAGACCGCAUAAUAGCCCUAGUUUUUUUUUUAGAUAGAAACAGUAAAGUGAUGUCUCAUUAGUUCAG